rnacentral:lncRNA from 1 species
AUCCCCGCAGCAGAUAUGUAAAACUUCAUUUCUCGCACUGUGUCUCUACUUCCAUCAAUCCGAUAGAGUAAAGAGACGACUCUCUAUCUUUUUCUCCGAACUCCACUCUCAGUGGAUUAACGAGUCGAAGAAGAGGAAGAGCGAGGUUGGUGUUGUUGAUCUGUACGACGGGAAUUCAAAAAUGGAAUUUGUAAAGAAGAAGCCAAGGGGGGACAUUUGUAAAUCAAAUAAAUACAAAUCUAUUUAAUUACACUUCACCUAUAUUAUUCUAUCAUAGUCACGAGUUCGUCAUAAUAAAAUUAUUUAUUAUUUAAGAGAAAAUAAUAAAAUAUGAGAAAGCCAAAACCAAUGCCGCGUUCAACUCCGCGGGAAUUUAGCACAUAAUAAAUGUCUGUGUAUGUAUAGAUAUAAUUAUUAAAUUAUGCUAUUUAUAUAGUAAGAAGGAUAAUUAAGUAAAACGAAUUAUGGGAACUUUAUGAUAAACAACUACAUUAAAUACUUACUGAUAAAUGGAUAGUUUCCUGCUCCACAAGUAAUUUUGUAUUUUGCGGAGGCACACCGACACAUAGCAGAAGGAGGGUUCCACUGUGGUAACCCACAUGGAAUUAAUGGUGCGUUAUUCCUGGAGAUCACCGUCUUUUGAUUGAUCUCUCUAUAGUCAUGGCAAUGGAGUUAGUAGUUAACCAAGUUUUGAGGAUCUAACUAUAAUUAAUUAAUGGUCCACUUUAACAAACUUAUUUGUCAAAUGUUCUUUAUAAGACAUUUAGUAACUAUAGAAUUUGUGUAGCAUUCAUACAACUUGAGUGAUUAUAUCGUGCUAUGUAUUGUGUUUUUGCGUAGGUGUGAAUUGUCAGUCAUUAAUUUUUCACCUAACAUUUAUUGUGUGUUUUUGUUCAUGAUUUGAAUGGUUGUAGAUGAAUAAGGCAUCAUAUCAAACCAACAAUAUUAUACAGGGGACGUGAGGUGUGGCAGUGGAACGAAGACAACUUAGUCUAUGUACCUUUUCGAUCGAUUUAAAACUAAACUAUAGAUGUUAUCAUGGAUAUGUGUAGCAACGUUUUUCUUAUAAAAUAUAAUCCUUCAAUCAUCCCGUCUCUCGACGAUGAACCAUUUCAAAUUCAUAGCAUAUACAUUUCUCAUUUCUGUACUCUUCUAUAAACUAUACAGUGUGACCAAAAUGGAUAAAAAUCAUUAGAAAGAAUACCCAAAAAAUGUCAGCUAUGUUGGAUAACGUAAAUCAAAUAGAUGUUUCAAUAUAGAAAGUGGUACAGAUUAAUUAUUUUGAAGAUAACAUGCGCUUUGUCGUUUCUGCAUGUACUGGUAGUGCAUUGCCAAUGUUCCUACACAAGUUGAUGCCUUUGGAAAUAGUUACAUUCAAUUAUCCAUCCACGCAAUAAUGAGAGUUUCCAAAACCUUACCGGACUUUUUUCCUUUUGAUAAAAUAUCUAAUCUAUUUUAAAUUUUAAAUGCAAGAGUCCGUUGCUCAAAAAAAAAAGGCAAGAGUCCGAAACUUGCAUGACCUUGCGAAGUUUCGGAUGGAUAGUAGGUGCUGGAACUGUUGUAGAUUUUGACCUUGCGAUUGUUUCUGAUGUUGCUGUUCUAGUUUGGCUUGGUGAUGUUCCUUUCAGGGUUGGGAUCGUUAAAGACUUUUGCUCCUUAGUUUUUUUACAUGUUCUAUAGAAAGGUAAUGAGUAAUUAUUGGAUCAUCAGUUGCUUCACAACUAAAUUUUCAUAUUAUGAAAUCAUAGGUUAACAACACACACAAACUUUGUUCCAUCUAAUUUUGAACUAAUUAAUUAUCACUGCUGCAGUGUGUAAUAUGAAUUUCCACUAAAGUAUUGUCUAUGAGUGUGAGUGUGAGUGUGAGUGUCAAUUGAAGAAAACAAAAGGUUGAAAAAAAAACAGAUACAAUUUUAUAUUUGCUGAGUAAAACGGCAAGCACUGUGAGUCAAAAACGAAAACGGCACGCUUUUCACCAGAUGCUGUGUAACGCAGGAAAAGAAAAACGGUUUAGAAAGAAAUAAAAACCGAUUCACAGUCGCAAGAAAACGGAAUGGUGUUUGGACUCAUCGUCAACAUCGUCGGAACGUGACGGAUCGUUGCUAACGGACUCGUAGGUGGGAAACAAAACUCUCUUCUCCAGUUCUCCUCACCUCAGGUAAGCAUUGAUCGUUCGUAAUUCGUAAUUCUCAGCGAUGUUGAAGCGUAGUGAUAAACUGAAACCUCCUUACGGAUCUCGAACUCAUCGAUUAGGAGUUACUCUCGUCGUUAUCGGUCUCCUAUUACUCGCAGCUCUUUUGUUCCGUCUCGGUGACAAGAAUCACGACCAACCGACACAGAUCGUCAAACACGUGUCGCGCUCUCAUCCAACCGUCGAGAUCCGAAACGGAACUCGUUUGAUUUGGAAGAUACCAACAAACAAACCAAAGGCUGUUCUGUUCAUCGCACACGGUUGCCACAGAAAAGCUUCAGACUUUUGGGACAAAUCACCAUCUUGUCCGAACUGUACCGGCUUACCAGAAGAGAAGGUUCUUGUCCGUACCGCUUUAUCCAAGAGCUUCGCUGUUAUCACAGUCUCCAGCUCAGGAACUUGCUGGAGUUUCGGGAAGGAGAAGAGAGUUGUCAGGGACGUGAUCAAAACGUGGGUUAAGAAGCAUAAUCUCGAGAGCCUUCCUCUCGUUGCGUUAGGAGCUUCCUCCGGCGGGUACUUCGUAUCCGCUCUCGCCUUAGAUAUGGAGUUUAGUAGCAUUGUGCUUAUGAUCGCUGAAGGAGUGUUUGAUCGGAUCAGUGUUAACAAACGUUACCCGCCGACGCUUUUCGUGCACAUGCCUAAGGACGUGUACAGGCAACAGAAGAUUAGAGAGUUUUUGGAAGGGUUGAGGGUUGAAGGCGUUGAUGCUGCGGAGGUCGAGUGUUUGGAUUUGCCGUUGUCUCCUGGGUUUUUGGCGGAUAGGAUUGAGGGUUUAGAUCGCGGCGUGUCGGCUCAAGUGUUUGAGGUGUUGAGAGAGAAGGGGUUUGUUGAUGGGAAGGGGUACAUGAAGCGUGAUGGGAGGAGAACGCCGUGGAGAGAAGCUCUUAGUGGGUAUAAGAUAUCGUUGGAGGAGAGUUUGGUUACUCCUGUUGAAGAGGAGCUGAAUCUUGCGUAUGCGUAUCAUGAGAUGACGAGUUUGCAGUCUGAACAGAUCUUUAACUGGUUUGAAUCGCAUAUGGGGUGAAUGGUUAGUUUACGGGUUGAGUUAGAAAGGACUAUGGUCACUGUAGUGUCUCUGGUGAGAAGAUAGUUUUGUUAGUAGCGUUAGCUUAACGUAAGGUGAGUUGCUUUUUGGUCCUCGUUUGUUUGUUGUUUAUCUAAGACUACCAACAAGUCUGUUGACUAUUGUGGUUCUUGAAUCUGUAACAAGAACUCCACAUAUGAGAAUGUUGGAUGCUAAGAAUUUUGUGGCAUAAUGACUUGUAUAUCUAUAGCAAGUCAUUCAAAGUUAGAACUAUUGGUGUUGAGACAUGGUAUAUGAUUAAAAAGCUUUGUUUCUUCUACCUGUCAACACAAAACAGAGUUCUAACACAAUCAAUAGAUUUAUCCCCCGUUUGUAAGGGGGACUUUAAGCUGUAACUAGAUAGCUUAUCAUGUUGUAAGGAUAAAAUGUGAUUCCAAACACAUAAUGUGGUAUUGUGUGUCUAGUUUUGACAAACUUAGCACAUAUAUAUGCUAAUACCAAAAACAAAGAGAUUAUUAUACUACAUCUUUGAACAUAGUGAAAACACAAUCUUUUGAAAUAUCAAAGUCUGCAAGCACACAAAAUGUAUAUAAUCUAACAUAGAAGUCUAAAAUUAACCAAGAACGACCAAGCAAACUAACUAUCCAAACAAAUAAGAACCUAAAAAUCAAGAUGGUAUCGUUGGUCUUAAGAAGAAAUAUAGCUAACUGGAGAUACAAAAACAAAACAAAACAAGGGUUUGAUCAAUCAAAGAAAUAAAUAAAGAUGCAUCAGAAAAACAAAAUGUUUUUUUAUUGACAAAAAUCAAUAGAUAAGUUCCAUCAACGUUUGACCAAAAAAAAAAAAGUUCCAUCAACUUUGGAGAUUUGUCCCAUUUAUAAGGAGACUCUAACCUAUAACAACGAAAGAGCUUAAAAUACAUACAAGCACUAAGCUAAAGCAUAGAUUCAGUCAACCAAGAGAGGCUUUCGUGCCUAAUUUUGACAAAGAGAUAUUCAAUAAAUAGCGGGUUUAUACUAUAUAUUAUAAUUAGUACAUUAGCUCGAGAUGCUAAUACCAAGAACAGAGAGAUUCUCAUUCAAUAGAGGGUGUAAUAAUACACUAACCCAGAGAGAUAAUACCAAACACCAAAGUCAAUAGGUUAGCAGUGAGACGUGAAUACUAAAAACAUUGAGAUUUUCAUCUAAUCAGAGGCCUAGAGGAAUUGCAUUUUUAAACAUUGUAAGAACAAUGUUUAAAAUAUAUAAGUUAUAUAGUCUAAACAUAUCAAUCACUUGGUAGGCCAAGUAUGCAACAUGCAUGAUGAAAAAUGAUGUAUGGUUUUGACAAAGUUAAUAGAUUAGAGAGUCCAUCAACUCUGUAAGAAAACAAAGAAAUAGACGACGAAGUAAUCCAAUCAUUUAUUGAAUUCACAUUUUGCAGCAUCUUCCUGAACAGUUCAGAAUCAAAUAGAUUUGUAUAUACGAACUAUAUAUUUUGUCAAAUUCAUUAGUAAUAUUGAAAAUUAAUUUGGUAAGUAAAUGAUUGAGUCAAAGAGAGUUUACCAAGGGGAGAAUCGCAAACGGAGGCGGAUUCGAGGACGAGAAACGCGAACCUGACGAAUAUAAAAGGCAGUACGAUCGCGAGCAUCAACAGGAACAGUAUCAACGUGCGGCCAGGGAACCUCCGUGCCGCCGCACAUCCUCCGCCUCCUUUACCGAUCGCUCCGCCGGGACUCGAUAUGGUGACUCUCUUAAUCCCCGCAGCAGAUAUGUAAAACUUCAUUUCUCUACUUCCAUCAAUCCGAGAGAGUAAAGAGACGACUCUCUAUCUUUUUCUCCGAACUCCACUCUCAGUGGAUUAACGAGUCGAAGAAGAGGAAGAGCGAGGUUGGUGUUGUUGAUCUGUACGACGGGAAUUCAAAAAUGGAAUUUGUAAAGAAGAAACCAAGGGGACAUUU